GGAGGCACCCGAACAAUGGAAAGCUCUUGCGGGCUUAAUUGGUAAUGCUCAAGUUCCGGAUGACAAGUUGAAUGGACCACACCAGGGAGCUGAUUGGAACGGGAGUUAGGCGAGAUGGACUUUACUACUUCGGUGGAGCUGAAGGUGAUUCGGUACAACAUGUUUCUGUCCACAACGCAGCAUCCACUUUGGAGUUGUGGCACAACAGGAUGGGACAUCCUUCAGAGAAAGUAGUGAAGUUACUUCCUCCAGUUAGCAAUCUUAAGGGUAGUUUAAAUAAAGCUUGUGAAAUAUGUUUUCGUGCUAAGCAUCCUAGAGACAAAUUUCCUUUAAGUGACAAUAAGGCAACUAGAAUUUUUGAGAAAAUACAUUGUGAUUUGUGGGGCUCUUAUAAACAUGUCUCUUCUUGUGGAGCUCGUUAUUUUUUAACUAUUGUUGAUGAUUUCUCAAGAGCUGUGUGGAUUUAUUUGUUGGUCGAUAAAACAGAAGUUUUUCGGAUGUUUAUGUCUUUUAUUGCAAUGGUAGAUCGACAAUUUUCUCAAA